rnacentral:rRNA from 1 species
UUUAAAUGGGUGCUAAAAGAAUGGAUGAAUGGGGGUAAACUUUUUUUUAAAAAAAAAUUGAAUUUAAAAUAAAAAUAAAAAUGUUUUUAUAAAAAUAUUAGACAAGAAGACCCUAAAAUCUUUAAUUAUUAAGUAAUUUUAAUUGGGGCAAUUAAAAAAUAAAAAGUAAUUUUAUUAAGAAAGUUUUUAAAAAGUAGGUAAGAUACUUUAGGGAUAACAGCGUUAUUAUUAUGGAGAGUUCAUAUUGAUAUAAUAGUUUGCGACCUCGAUGUUGAAUUAAUGAGUCUUUAUGGUGAAGAAGCUAUAGAAGAGAGAUUGUUCAUCUUUUUAAUCAUUACUUGAUCUGA